rnacentral:rRNA from 1 species
UAGAGUUUGAUCCUGGCUCAGAUUGAACGCUGGCGGCAGGCCUAACACAUGCAAGUCGAGCGGCAGCGGGAAAGUAGCUUGCUACUUUUGCCGGCGAGCGGCGGACGGGUGAGUAAUGCCUGGGGAUCUGCCCAGUCGAGGGGGAUAACUACUGGAAACGGUAGCUAAUACCGCAUACGCCCUACGGGGGAAAGCAGGGGACCUUCGGGCCUUGCGCGAUUGGAUGAACCCAGGUGGGAUUAGCUAGUUGGUGAGGUAAUGGCUCACCAAGGCGACGAUCCCUAGCUGGUCUGAGAGGAUGAUCAGCCACACUGGAGCUGAGACACGGUCCAGACUCCUACGGGAGGCAGCAGUGGGGAAUAUUGCACAAUCGGGGAAACCCUGAUGCAGCCAUGCCGGGUGUGUGAAGAAGGCUUUCGGGUUGUAAAGCACUUUUAGCGAGGAGGAAAGGUUGGUAGCUAAUAACUGCCAGCUGUGACGUUACUCGCAGAUGAAGCUCCGGUUAAUUCCGUGCCAGCAGCCGCGGUAAUACGGAGGGUGCAAGCGUUAAUCGGAAUUACUGGGCGUAAAGCGCACGCAGGCGGUUGGAUAAUUUAGAUGUGAAAGCCCCGGGUUCAACCUGGGAAUUCACAUUUAAAACUGUCCAGUUAGGGUCUUGUAGAGGGGGGUAGAAUUCCAGGUGUAGCGGUGAAAUGCGUAGAGAUCUGGAGGAAUACCGGUGGCGAAGGCGUCCCCUUGGACAAAGACUGCCGCUCAGGUGCGAAAGCGUGGGGAGCAAACAGGAU